CCAUAGGUAUGAAUGUGAGUGUGAAUGGUUGUUUGUCUAUAUGUGCCCUGCGAUUGGCUGGCGACCAGUCCAGGGUGUACCCCGCCUGUCGCCCGAAGUCAGCUGAGAUAAACUCCAGCAUACCCCCGCGACCCUAAUGAGGAGAAGCGGUAUAGAAAAUGGAUGGAUGGAUGACUUCAGAGCACAUGCUGUUAAACUAAUGAGAAGAAACGUGUUCAACGUGGAAAAACAUUUUUAGUAUUGUGUCACAUGGUUUCCAUGGAUUUUGAAGUGAUAAGUGAACUACUGUGGCGCGUGAUGAGCGACGCUGCCGAGGAGCACCAUGGCGACACGCUGAAACCGGCCAAGUCGGUCAUGACGACGCAGGCCAGCGACGACGGAGUCGUACUGCACUGCCCCCCCAGCGAUGGCGACGGUGAGCCACUUGCCAAAAAAGUGUGUGUCGCCCCGGAUGACUCUGACUUGUCCUUCUCUGUGGUCACGCUACCGAUGGCGGAUGACCACGAGCGCUUUGAGGUCACCAUGACAACCACGGCGGCGGAUGACCUCUCUCAGGAGGGCGUGACUCACAUUCAGGUCCUGCGUGAGGAUGACUUUGCCGUGUCGGCUAAUGAGAAGGCGGAGGUGGCGGCCGUCAGUCAAGCGUGGUUCACCACCAAAGAAGACAAAGACACGCUGGCCAACAAAGGUCACAAGUGGAAACAAGGGAUGUGGUCCAAAGAGGAAAUCGACGUGCUCAUGAGCAACAUCGAGCAGUACGUCAAGGCUCGAGGCAUCGAGGACCCGGCCGAGAUCAUCUUUGAGAUGUCCAAAGAAGAGAGGAAAGACUUCUACCGCUCAGUGGCGCUGGGCCUCAACAGGCCGCUCUUUGCCGUCUACCGCCGAGUUCUACGAAUGUACGACAACCGCAACCACGUUGGCAAGUACACCCCAGGGGAGAUUGAGAAGUUAAAAGCGCUGAGGGAUUGCCAUGGCAACGACUGGGCUGCCAUUGGCGCCGUGCUCGGCCGCAGUGCCUCCUCAGUCAAGGACCGCUGUCGCCUGAUGAAGGACACGUGCAACACAGGGAAGUGGAGCGAGGAGGAGGAACGCUGUCUGGCUGAGGUGGUGUACGACAUGGCAGGCGUGUCUCCGGGCUCGGCGGUCACGAGGGGUGUGUCCUGGGCGUCAGUGGCCAAUCAGGUGGGCACACGCUCGGAGAAACAGUGUCGCUCCAAAUGGCUUAACUACCUCAACUGGAAGCACAGUGGUGGCACCGAGUGGACCAAAGACGACGACCUCAACCUCACGCGAAGGAUUUUGGAGCUGGAAGUGGAAGAUGAGAAUGACAUCAAGUGGGAGGAGCUUGCCGGGGGGUGGAGCAGCGUGCGCUCACCUCAGUGGCUGCGAUCCAAAUGGUGGAGCAUCAAGAGACAAGUAGCCAAUCACAAAAAGAUCCCCUUCAGUGUCUUACUCAAGGCCCUCCACGAGGUCAUGGCAUCCUCGCAGGUGGCGAGUGGCCCGUGCAGCCCCUCCCUCCAGAUCCGUCUAAGCCGACUGGAGGAGAGUGGCGCUGGCCCCGCCCCUGGUUCUGUGGCGGCCCUACAGAUUCCCAUGCAGAUCCCACUCCAGAUCACACACCUGGACUCCACAACGGCCAGCGGGGAUGGCGACGCCAUCACACUGAGCAGUGGCGCUCUGCAGGCCUUUGAGAUCCUGCCUUCUUUCCAGCUGCAGCCCACCAGCACGCCGGGUACGUACUUCCUGCAGACCACGUCCAGUCAAGGCCUGCCCCUCAGCUUGGCCAAUAGCGGCACCGUUACUUUGACGACCAGCUCCUCCUCAGCAUCCCAUGAGCACAUCAUCCUCCACACCCUGGCGACCGACGGUCUCUGCUCCGGCGAUGGCGUCAUCAUCCAGACGGUUACCUCUGACUCCGCCCCCUCUGAUCCUCUCAGCCAAACAGAGCUGGUUGUGGAGACGGAGCGGAGUCAGGAGGCUUCCUGUCUUCUGGAAGGUUCUGAAAAGGUGGUGAGGGCAAGUGAGGGGCCAGUGACGGAGGACUUUACUGCCAAGGAGCUGGCCCCCUCCUCAGUGGUGCAUCCUGGGAUACCAACUGGCGGCGCCGUCUUGAUUGCGUCUCCUCCCAACAUCAGCAGCACGCUGACAGAUCCCAUCUUGGAGAACCAGGAAGGUUCUGACUAGGACGGGCGCGAGCAUCACAUCACGUCUUCACAUCACGUGCUCGUCGUCAUAGCAACUGACAACAUGUUCCAUCGGUGUUGUGUGGUGGUGUGGAAACACGUGUACGUCCUUUUGGGUCCAUGGGGAGGAUUCAUCACAGUCCGUCUGCGUGAUUGUGCGCAUGGCCAGGAGGUGGUGGUGGCGGCACGGCUGGUCUUCACCUGACAUCGUGGAAGUACAGCAUGAUGGUGGAGCCACAGGCGAGCAGAAUGCAGACAGCAAAGAAGAUGUUGAGUGGGCGUGGAGGCAAGGAUGGGAAAACAAAUGAGCUAAUCACCGUCACCUGCAAGCAACACGAAGCACAGCGUGUCAUCUCAUGAGUAUCCUACUCGUGCUGACGUCUCCCCAAACAGAGGUCUGUUGUCCAGGCCGCUGGUGCCGUAUGUUCUGCUACUGAACUCAUCCAUGGCGUGCAUACACACACUCAGCAGCGCCGCCUUCUGGAGGAGACGCCGUAUUGCAUGCUAGCCUGCUACCGAGCGUCCCGCCUGGACUCCAUGCACAGCGUCAGGGGCCUGAUGGGAGUGGGAUAUUGGCCAGGUGCGCGUCUCCUUUGCCUGUGUGACACGCAUGCACAUGGCAAUAUAUUGAUCCAGUUUAUUUUCCUUCAUUAAUUAAUGUAUUAUUGUCCCAGACCUAGUGCCCAUGAAACAUGUUCUUCUGAUCAAGGACAUCUUGUCACGUUUUAACCUCACGAGAUCUUGUGCCACCCCUAUUUAUACAUCUAUUUGCAGGUGAAAGAGAAAAAUGUGAGACGACAGUUAGAAAAGUGAUUUGACUGCUUCGCUUCCCCUUUCAUCACAACCACACUGACCACCGUGAGGCUGCAAACAGGAAGCAAAUCUGGCCUCUGAUGCAAAUGCACCCUGCACGUCUCCAACAGCUAAAAGCAUGCUCGCAUGUACGCACACACACAUUUUGCAGCGUGUGAUGUUCUCAAGGGCCUUUGUGGGUCACAAGGCAGCAGGAAUGAAAGGAAAUCCCGGCAGAGCUUUGAGGGCACAUAACAAGAGCCUCAUUAUGAAAACAGCAUCUAAUCGGCCUAAAGCUACAUUCCUGGUCAGACUUGUGAUGCACAGGGUUCCUUUUAGACAAGGCUAACCACCACAUUUGGGUUGCAUGUGAGGCGUUGCUACCAAACAUUCCCAGUCUUCCAUAUAAGGACUAAACAACUACAUUCGCGAUGCAUCAAGUGGAAGAAAAAGGCCUGUUUCUGUUGAUCGUGGUUUCCGAGUAGAGCAGCACCAAACUGACACGAAAGUUGAGAUGCAAACCAUAAUGUUACAUCUGAUGACUGAUACUGGCACUUCCAAAUUGUCAGUCACAAAGCUUAAUGCCAUGCCUGUAAUGCUCACAGCCACCGGGGGGCGUGUU